AUACUUACCUGGCAGGGGAGAUUCCAUGAUCACAAAGGUGGUUUUCCAGGGCGAGACUUAUCCAUUGCACUCCGGAUGUACUGACCCCAGCGAUUUCCCCAAAUGCGGGGAAAUUCAACUGCAUAAUUUAUGGUAGUGUGGGACUGCAUUCGUGUUCUCCCCUU